GCCAGGUGUGGUGGUGCAUGCCUGUAAUGCCAGCUGCUCAGGAGGCUGAGGCAGGAUGAUCACAAGUUCAAAGCCAUCCUUAGUAACAGCGAGGUGCUAAGGAACUCAGUGAGACCCUGACUCUA
rnacentral:sRNA from 1 species